UGCCCAGCAACACCUAUCCCUACCUCCUCGCGGUACUGGCCGGGGUACGAGUAACCUUAGGGAAGAUCGGGUAACCAACCCCCGGUGGGAACUUUGGUCGUAUGCUGACAGGGAAGG
rnacentral:ribozyme from 1 species